UAGGUAAUCUUCCGCAAUGGACGAAAGUCUGACGGAGCAACGCCGCGUGAGUGAAGAAGGAUUUCGGUUCGUAAAACUCUGUUGUUAGGGAAGAAAAAAUGUAUAGUAACUAUAUACAAAAGAGACGGUACCUAACCAGAAAGUCACGGCUAACUACGUGCCAGCAGCCGCGGUAAUACGUAGGUGGCAAGCGUUGUCCGGAUUUAUUGGGCGUAAAGCGCGCGCAGGUGGUUUAGAAAGUCUGAUGUGAAAGCCCACGGCUCAACCGUGGAGGGUCAUUGGAAGCUAAUAAACUUGAGUGCAGGAGAGAAAAGUGGAAUUCCUAGUGUAGCGGUGAAAUGCGUAGAGAUUAGGAGGAACACCGGUGGCGAAAGCGGCUUUUUGGCCUGCUACUAACUCUAAGGCGCGAAAGCGUGGGGAGCAAACAGG
rnacentral:rRNA from 1 species